CUCGGGUGGCAGCAGUGGGGAAUAUUGGACAAUGGGCGAAAGCCUGAUCCAGCCAUGCCGCGUGUGUGAAGAAGGCCUUCGGGUUGUAAAGCACUUUCAGUGGGGAAGAAAGCCUUGGGGCUAAUACCCUCGAGGAAGGACAUCACCCACAGAAGAAGCACCGGCUAACUCCGUGACCAGCAGCCGCGGUAAUACGGAGGGUGCGAGCGUUAAUCGGAAUUACUGGGCGUAAAGCGCGCGUAGGCGGUCUGAUAAGCCGGUUGUGAAAGCCCCGGGCUCAACCUGGGAACGGCAUCCGGAACUGUCAGGCUAGAGUGCAGGAGAGGAAGGUAGAAUUCCCGGUGUAGCGGUGAAAUGCGUAGAGAUCGGGAGGAAUACCAGUGGCGAAGGCGGCCUUCUGGACUGACACUGACGCUGAGGUGCGAAAGCGUGGGUAGCAAACAGGAUUAGAUACCCGAGUAGUC
rnacentral:rRNA from 1 species